rnacentral:rRNA from 1 species
GGCCAGCGCGUGCAGCUUGCAUGCCUGCAGGUCGACGAUUUUCUGGUUGAUCCCGCCAGAGGUCACCGCUAUUAGGAUACGAUUAAGCCAUGCGAGUCAAAGAGCAAUCUUGGCGCACCGCUCAGUAACACGUGGACAAUCUACCCUUCGGUGGGGGAUAAUCUUGGGAAACUGAGAAUAAUACCCCAUAGGUCUAGGAUGCUGGAAUGCUUCUAGACUGAAAGUUCCGACGCCGAAGGAUGAGUCUGCGGCCUAUCAGGUUGUAGCAAGUGUAACGCACUUGUUAGCCUACAACGGGUACGGGCCAUGAGAGUGGUUGCCCGGAGAUGGACUCUGAGACAUGAGUCCAGGCCCUACGGGGCGCAGCAGGCGCGAAAACUUCGCAAUGUGCGCAAGCACGACGAGGGAAUCCUAAGUGCCUAUGCUUUGCAUAGGCUGUUCUCCUGUCUAAAAAACAGGGGGAGUAAGGGCUGGGUAAGACGGGUGCCAGCCGCCGCGGUAAUACCCGCAGCCCAAGUGGUGAUCGUUAUUAUUGGGUUUAAAAUGUCCGUAGCUGGUCUAGUAAAUUCCUGGGUAAAUCGAAUUGCUUAACAAUUCGAAUUCCGGGUAGACUGCUAGACUUGGGACCGGAAGAGGUCAGAAGUACUUCUGGGGUAGGGGUAAAAUCCUGUAAUCCUGGAGGGACUAUCAGUGGCGAAGGCGUCUGACUAGAACGGAUCCGACAGUAAGGGACGAAGCCCUGGGGCGCAAACGGGAUUAGAUACCCCGGUAGUCCAGGGUGUAAACGCUGUAGGCUUGGUGUUGGGGGUCCUAUGAGGACAUCCAGUGCCGGAGAGAAAUUGUUAAGCCUACUACCUGGGGAGUACGGUCGCAAGACUGAAACUUAAAGGAAUUGGCGGGGGAGCACCGCAACGGGUGGAGCGUGCGGGUUAAAUGG